AGCGAACGUUUGCGGCGGGCCUUACACAUGCAAGUCGAACGACAGCACGGACUUCGGUCUGGUGGCGAGUGGCGAACGGGUGAGUAAUACAUCGGAACGUGCCCGGACGUGGGGGAUAACUACUCGAAAGAGUGGCUAAUACCGCAUACGAUCCAAGGAUGAAAGCGGGGGAUCGCAAGACCUCGCGCGUUUGGAGCGGCCGAUGGCAGAUUAGGUAGUUGGUGAGGUAAAGGCUUACCAAGCCUGCGAUCUGUAGCUGGUCUGAGAGGAUGAUCAGCCACACUGGGACUGAGACACGGCCCAGACUCCUACGGGAGGCAGCAGUGGGGAAUUUUGGACAAUGGGCGAAAGCCUGAUCCAGCCAUUCCGCGUGCAGGAUGAAGGCCCUCGGGUUGUAAACUGCUUUUGUACGGAACGAAAAGGCUCUUGCUAAUACCAGGAGUCCAUGACGGUACCGUAAGAAUAAGCACCGGCUAACUACGUGCCAGCAGCCGCGGUAAAGU
rnacentral:rRNA from 1 species